rnacentral:rRNA from 1 species
UGCCAGCAGCCGCGGUAAUACGGAAGGUGCGAGCGUUAAUCGGAAUUACCGGGCGUAAAGCGCAGGCAGGCGGACAUGCAAGUUGGAUGUGAAAGCUCUCGGCUCAACCGAGAGAGGCCAUUCAAAACUGUGUGACUGGAGGACAGCAGAGGAACACGGAAUUCCGGGUGGAGUGGUGAAAUGCGUAGAUAUCCGGAGGAACACCAGAGGCGAAGGCGGUGUUCUGGGCUGUACCUGACGCUGAACUGCGAAAGCGUGGGGAGCGAACGGGAUUAGAUA